UACGGAGGGUGCGAGCGUUAUUCGGAAUCACUGGGCGUAAAGGGCGCGUAGGCGGCCUGGUAAGUCAGGGGUGAAAACCGUGGGCUCAACCUACGGCUUGCCUUUGAUACUGGUCGUCUUGAGUACAGGAGAGGGAAGCGGAAUUCCCGGUGUAGCGGUGAAAUGCGUAGAGAUCGGGAGGAAUACCAGUGGCGAAGGCGGCCUUCUGGACUGACACUGACACUGAGGUGCGAAAGCGUGGGUAGCAAACAGG
rnacentral:rRNA from 1 species